ACUCUCUGGCCCACCCAUUUCCACCGAUACUUUACUCUGUCCCUGUUUCGCUCUGUGAAUUGCACGAAGAGGGCUCAAAUUCUGGGCUGAGCGGCGGCUGGCGACGGCGUUUUCUGAAAGCGGCGGCGGCGGCUUAGAAUUUGUGUAGGGCAACCAGACAAGCACAGAGUUAUUUUGGAGGUUGGAUAUAUUUGAGCUGAUGAUGGCUCCGAGGAUGCACCGUCGAAGGCGGCGGAGUAUGAACUGCUGUUGCUGCUGCUGUGUAGCUCUUUCUGUCGCUGCUAUAUUUGUUUUUCUCUUUCUGUUGAUGCUGAAAUACCGCGCGUGCUCUGUUCACGUGCUUGGUGUUUGUCACCAGAGAAACUUCGACUUUCUCGUACCCUUUUCUCUAAGGAACCACAUAUGAUUUCUUCAGUGAUCUGCCAAUUCGAGAACGACACCGGUAUU